GUGAUAUGUCAUCAAUACUGCUGCUGUUGCAUCUCCUUUCUCCAACAUCAAGGAGCCAAAAGAAGACUGCAAAAAUGAGUGCCAAUCAAACUCCUGACUGUCUGGUUGGGACCAGUUUGGAAAACCAUCUUGAACACACUGAGGGCUGUGAUCAACCAUGCUUGCUGGCUGAUGUGUGCGCAUGAAAAAACACCACCCACAAAUGCUUCAUAGUCAUCGACAAGAAAGCCGUUCCAUGUAAGGCUCUAAGUUCAGUUGCUGCUUUUGACAAACUGUUCAAGGCACACUGUCUUCAGUGUAUAUUACAAUGAAUCUUUAUCUUGUCUGUACACAUUCAUCCAAACUACCAUCUACAACACAGAUGUUGGAAAUGCAAAAGAAAACCCACGAGGCAGAGAACUUGGAGCAAGAUUGUUACACAGAAAAAUCAGAAUAGAGAAAUUUUGAAAAGAUUUUCUGCUUACGAGACCAAAAAUAUUGAUUUGUUUUGUUUGUAAAUCAUACCACAAAAGUAGCAAUUCCCAUAGCAAACAUAUUACAUUAAAAGACGGUUUGUUUCCUGGAAAACUAUUGAGUCUCAAACGUGAACAGUUAGGGUUUUCUCUUGUUUGUCACAUUUUUAAUCUAGUGGAUUAAAAAUGGACGAUGACAGAGAAGAUUUGGGCUUGAAUGCUAUUCAAACUUGGUGCUUGCUAUGCAAUGUUCCUCUAAUGUUUGGAGAUCUUGUUGAACAAAAUGACAAAUAUUGGAACCUACUGCAGCUACUACAACUGAUUUUUGUUGAUGUUGUUUUCUCCCCAAUUAUAAUCGAUAGUAUGACUUAUUUAAAGCAUUUCAUUUGCCAUCAUCACAACAUGUUAAAAGACUUGUUUCCAGAUAGGAAUUUACUACCCAAACACCACAUUGUUAUUCACUACCCACAGUGCAUUUGGAAGAUAGGAUCAUUGCUACAUAGGUAGUGUAUGGGAUUUGAAGCCUAACAUAAUUUUUUUUAAGAAUUUCAAAAACAUUGGUAAAGAAACAUCAGGCUUAUGUAGUAUACCAAUGGGAAAAUUUCAUCUUUCAUAGAUUUGAAUUUGGUCUGAAUUACUAAGUGGAAUGCAGGGAUGUUUAGUUAUUGCUGAAAAAUUAAAUGUAAAGUAUUUAUUCUGAUAUUUUCACAACAAAGUGGGCGAAGUGUUAUGGAACAGAGUAUCACAAAGGCUUGUUUGUGUGGCACUAGCUUUAUAGUUAAAGAGGAAAAGGCUGUUUACUAAUCAGCAAUAUUGUGUCUUUAUUUUGAUGAGCACUUCAAUGCUUUUAGGAUGGAGGAGAAAACAGCAGACAUACUUUAUGUAUUUGAGGUGGAUGAUCGUGUGUACUACAAACCAUUUGAUAGACAGUUUUCAUAUGGAUCAGGGGACAUUGGGUAUUAUAGUCCCACAUUGCCAUGUAAUCUGAACAUAUCUAAACGCAUGUUUGAUUUGUGUUUUUUGUGUUAUCAGAGGAACAAGCCUUUUUAGUAACUUGAUAUUGUGAACAUUUCUUUAUGGGACCUAUUCUGACUUAACUGGUGCUGCAUAAGUAUUUAUGCGUUGUAGAUUAACCAUGUAUGGGGAAAACGAGAGCACUUAUGUGGCAUGUAAAUGGAGUCAGAAUAGGGCCCUGUAUGGCGGCUAAAAUGCUUUUAGGAUUGAGAAAUGGUCUGUAUUUGUGCUGGGUCAUUUUAAACACUGCAGGCCAUUUGACAGUUAAAUAUUGUGGUUUAAUAAUAUGUAUAACCAGGUAGAUUCCCAGCUGAUCUAAACAUAUCUGCAAUGAUUUGUAUUGGUGUUAUUGGUUUGUGAAAGGAAACCCUUUGCAUAAUGGAAUCCUAAUUGUAUGGGUCUGUAUGAUUUUGUUUUGUACAUGCUUGGGAGUUCAAAGAGGCAAAUGUAACCUGUUGGAUUGUUAAAUAAAGCAAUAUGUUGACUGUU